rnacentral:lncRNA from 1 species
AGUGAUCAUGCUUGGUCAGUUUGUCCACUAUCACCUAUUGUAAUGUACCAGAUUUUAAUAUAAAAAUUAAGUGUAAAUAAAAAUAGUGGAAGAUACUAUUUUUAUUGGACUUAAAGAAGUAAAAUAUAGGUCGGAAAUGACUAGUGCUGAAAUCGGAGUGGAAACAGAAGAUUUAGAAUUUUCUGUAUAGAACGGGACUGAUAUUUUAGCAGAAAAUGUACAGUGUCAGAAAAUUAUGAAAACUGGAGAGUAUGUCAGAAUUAUUUUUAUGAGGCUAGAUUUAAAGUUUCAUAUCAUUCCGAUACCCGAAAAGUGAAAAAUAAAACCCGACUGCUAUCUGCUAGAGAUUACAGUUCGGUAGAGCUUUCGGUGACCAAAGAUGGUUGAAACUGAGAAGUUAAGA